rnacentral:rRNA from 1 species
UACGUAGGUGGCAAGCGUUGUCCGGAAUUAUUGGGCGUAAAGCGCGCGCAGGCGGCCUUUUAAGUCUGAUGUGAAAGCCCACGGCUCAACCGUGGAAGGUCAUUGGAAACUGAAGGGCUUGAGUACAGAAGAGGAAAGCGGAAUUCCACGUGUAGCGGUGAAAAUGCGUAGAGAUGUGGAGGAACACCAGUGGCGAAGGCGGCUUUCUGGUCUGUAACUGACGCUGAGGCGCGAAAGCGUGGGGAGCAAACAGG